UCUGCCGUCCACACGCCGCCAGAAGGUAAACACCGUCUCUGUCUCUCUCCCAUUCUGUCUAUUUCACUGCUGCACAGAUGAACUGAAUGUUUGCUUGUGUUUAUAGUGACAUAGAGGUAAUUAAGAAUGGCAGGAGUAUACAGAACUCUGUGCGCUGUGCAGCGAGACAGCUGUGUGGCUCUACUGAGAUUGCCGUCAGUUUUACCGUGUUCUACCAGAGCCAAUUUUUGUACAAGAAUCGUAAAGAAACCACUACAUGGAUGGGAGGAUGCACAAAGGUUGGUUUUGAUACGAAAGUUUGGCACCAAAGAAAAGGAGACACCGAUUUCCAACACCGAGACAGAAGUUGAUAUUGGACCUGGCACUUGGAAGGAAAUUUACCACGGGAUCCUUUCAACUCAAAUCAGGAUGGUGAAAACAUUCUCACUCUCCACAUCUCUGAUGGGUCUCAUGGUCCAGCCAGUCCUCAUGCAGAAAGUGGUAGGAACUCAUAUGGGCGUGAUUCUUGCUGUUGGUUCCUUUGUUGGGUUCUUCACCUUCAUCACGCCGUUGCUCAUUCACUGGAUCACAAAGAAGUAUGUGACGUCUUUGGAAUACGAUCCGAAGAGAGAUAUCUACUCGGCAACUACUCUCUCCUUUUUCUUGAGGGAGAAAAAGAUUCACUUUCACGCUGAUGAUGUUAAGGUGCCGGAUGUUCCUGGGAUGUUUACAACAUUUCUCGUUAAAAACAAACCAUUGUUUGUAGAUCCCAAAAUGUUUGAAAAUGUUGAACAUUAUGGACGUUUAAUGGGCUACGAUAAGCCAAUUGAUUUCCAUCUUGGAGAUCCAAAUAAGAAAGAAUAAAAAAAGUGGCAGGAACUGAUAUGGGUGGUAAUCAAGAAAUUGAAGGUAUAAAGUAAGGAGGCUGACAAGAAGGUCAGCAUAGGAAGAAAUCUAAACACUGAAGCUUGAUUUUGAAUGGGUACAGUGUAAGCUGCAGGAGGCAAAUGAAGACCCGUUGACCAGGCAUCCAAGAUUGGGGCGAAAAGUCGACAAACAACUCCCCCACCAUCUGUAUGAUUGUGUUGUAAUGGCACGAGGCCAAUGGUGAAAAAUAUUGCUAUUUUUAUGCAACAUACAGAGAGAAAUUAACAAAGGUAGCACUUGUCAUUCCACAUGACCCUGUUAAGGAAUAUAGUGAGUUUUAUGUAUGUUUGUGGUCAACUAUUUACACUCUGAAUUGAAAAUGGUGUUGUUUAUUCAUUCUCAGGGCUUCUAUUUCUGAAAUGAACUUGAAACAGGAUGCGUUGCAAAUAGUUACGUGGAUCAUAUGAAUAAUAAAUGUAAAGAAACUAGGUGUAUAUAGGU
rnacentral:misc_RNA from 1 species